rnacentral:rRNA from 1 species
UACCAGCACCCCGAGUGGUCGGGACGAUUAUUGGGCCUAAAGCAUCCGUAGCCGGUUCUGCAAGUCCCCCGUUAAAUCCAGCUGCUCAACAGAUGGGCCGCGGAGGAUACUACAGAGCUAGGAGGCAGGAGAGGCAAGCGGUACUCAGUGGGUAGGGGUAAAAUCCGUUGAUCCAUUGAAGAACACCAGUGGCGAAGGCGGCCCGCUGGGCAGUGGCUGACGCUGAGGCGCGACAGCGUGGGGAGCAAACAGG